rnacentral:lncRNA from 1 species
UUUUCUUUUUCUUCUUCUUGCUGAAUUUCUUCAUAAAGUUGAGAACAUCAAGCACAUGCUUCCAUGUUUCAACCAUAGGAAUUUUAAUCUCCAAUUUCUUGAAGAUCUCCAUAAAAUACUUGAACUUCUUUUCCUUCCUAUGAUUUUUCUUUUUGUGAGGAAGGGGUUUUUCAUGUCAUCUUUUCUUCUUUCCUCUCUUCUUUUUUUUUCUUAGUGUUUUCCUCCCUCAACUUUCUCUUUUUAUUUUCUCUUAUUUUUUACUUUCUUUUCUCACUUUUUUUCUUUUUUUCUUUUCUUUCAACCACUUCUUUUUCGUUAUCAUCAUUUUUAUCUCCCUCACUCAACUUUUCUACUUCUUCUUCCUCUUCGUUUCUCUCUAUCUUUCCCUUCUCCAUCUCUAUUUGUUUCUCAUCAACAACCUUCUCACUAUCAAAGAUAGUGCCUUGGCAUUUCUCAUUAGGGUUAACUUCAGUAUUAACCCUAAUAAUACCUAGAGACUUCAACACGCAAGAGAUUUGUUCCAACUGUGAACAUUCUUUAGCUUUUCCUAAUGUUUCUCUGUAUGAGUGAGAUUCCCACCAGUGGUUGA